rnacentral:rRNA from 1 species
ACGAACCGUGCAAACGUUGUUCGGAUUCACUGGGCUUAAAGGGCGCGUAGGCGGGCGGUCGAGUCCGGGGUGAAAUCUUUCAGCUCAACUGGAAAAGUGCCUUGGAUACCGGCCGUCUCGAGGGAGGUAGGGGCAUGCGGAACUUCCGGUGGAGCGGUGAAAUGCGUAGAUAUCGGAAGGAACGCCGGUGGCGAAAGCGACGUGCUGGACUGACACUGACGCUGAUGCGCGAAAGCUAGGGGAGCGAACGGGA